ACCAGACGAGAACCGACACAUCCUAUAAAAACCGAUCUGAUGGAGAAGAGAGGAAAAUAACAGUGACUUGAUGCGCUCUGAAUGAGUGGGCCGGGAUAGCGUGAACCAUGGUGGACCCAUUGGAACCCGACGACCAGAGUAAAUUCAGGGGGGCCCAGUUUGAAAGCCCAGCUGCUGCCUCUGAAGCACCAUGUCUACCUGAGCCAGGUGAUGAUAAAGAGAUAGAUGUUAGUGUGGAUUCCAGCCCACAGACAUCACCGGGUACUGAACCUGUACAAAGCUCUCAAGAACCAUGCCAGCAGCAAAACAGUCAAUCAGAAGAGGUAAAACUGCAUCUGGACCUUUACAAUUUUGAUUCGCCAGUUGCAGAAGGUAGUCGGUAUGUACUGACAAGCCCUCGCUCUCUUGAGGCAUGUGCACGAUGUGGAGUGAAACCUGUGGAACUUCUGCCACGUCCACUGUCUGAUUUUGCACGUGAGGCACCUGGCCGCAGCAUGCGUGUCGCAACAGGAAUGUUUGAGAUAUAUGAGCGGGAUAGACAUGCUAAACUCCGGCACUGUAGAGAAGAGAGAGAGCGGAUUAUCAGAGAGGAGAAAAGGCGAUUUCUGCAAGCAGCUCUCAACAAUAAUAGUGAUACACUGGCUUCAGAGAAGUCUGAGGAAACUGUAAAUGCUGCAUUGUCUCAACAAACCAAUCAUAGUUUAACAAAUCCAUCCUCUAAGAUGGCUCCUCCUUGUAGCACCGCACCCAAAAAACAAUCAACAUCAACUGCUCCUAAAAGCAUGAUAGCAGGAUCUGGACAGGUGACUUCAGUAUCCACAUCUAGUUCUCCUCCGGCCUCAAAAUCAAGUCCAGUGAACUCUGCUGCUCCUCCCAAAGUAACCUCUGCAAAAAAAUCCAAGUCACUUGAAGUAGAAUCUGGGAGAAAACCAAGCAAACCAGUAAUCCAACGAUCAAUUCAGUCAGUUCCUGGAGGUCAGGGUCUAAAAAAACCUUCCAGUGCUACGACAAAGGCUCCAAAUACUUUCCCCAGAUCAAUACCAAAGCCUUCUUCUUUUCCAAGGACACCAACUUCACUUGCUCCAAUAGUGUCGAAAUCUGCUGUCCAAAGCCCUGCUAAUGGCAUCACGGGUGCAUUUGGGCAGCAUAAUGGCCAUAUCAUCUCCAAAUCAAAGGUUAGGUGCAGAAGCCAUUCUCUGGAGUCUUUGCAAAGAAGGCGUGACACAUUUAGUUCUUCUACUGCUUCAACAACAAAUACAACAAUUACUACGUGUACCUCCUCUGAGUCUGCUUCUUCAUCCUAUAGCUGGGAUGGGGCAAGAGAUCACUGGGCUAAAACAUCAAGCCCUCGUGCCCGCACUUUAGCGACAUUUAACUCUCUGAUGGGUCGCAGUUUAAGCUUGGGAGACCUUAGCCAUUCUCCACAGACUACGCAAAAAGUGGAGCGCAUCGUGAAGGAGGUGAAACGCAGAGGACUUAAAGCUGUUCCUGAACGUGACCGAAAGAUUGCUGCAUUAAUGCUAGCUAGGUACCAAGAGGAGGAUAUAAUGAGCCAGACACGCUAUGUAGCACACCUGCAAUGGGAUAGUGAGCGGCGAGUAGAGGAGCUGAGAAGGGAACGUGAAGAGCGUGAGAAACAGAGGGCCGUGCAGCAGUGCCAACGUGCAUGGCAAUCACAAGUUUCUACCAGACAGCGUUGGCUUAAUCAGCAGGAGCGUGAAGCUGCUAAAGCAAAACUUCGCCAAGCAGUGGAAAAUGAGGAGCGUUGGAAGGAGUUGGCUGAGCAACAAGAACGCAGUCGCUUGCAGAAACUGCAACAGGCUGCUCGCGAGGAGAAACACAAGAAGUCAUUACAAGAACAGAACCUCAAAGCUUUGGAAGAGGAGCGAGCUGCCAUUCUUGAGCAAGAGAAACUGCUCCUCAAGGAGAAGCUGACAAUUGCUGAGCUGAAGCGUCAGGAGCGAGAGCACCAGAAUCAGGAAGAGCGUCGUGGACUCAACCGUGCUGAGAAGAGACGGCAUGCAGCUCUUAUCCAAGAAAUUGCACGCCGUGAAACGGACGAUCGAGAAGAAGCACGGAGAACUGCGGAUGAGAAGCUAAGCAGGUCUUUGGAGAACUAUGAGCAGAUACAAGAAAAACGAGCACAAGAGUUGAAGGAGAAAGCUAAACGAGAAGGAAAGCUGAUCCAGAAAGCGAGACGCAGUGCUGAAAUACGUGAGCAACAGCAGAAGGAACAGAUGGAGGCAAAAGCUAAGGAAGCUGAAAGACGAGCACAACAAGCCGCUCAAGUAGCUGAAGAACGGGCUCGGGAGAAGGCCCAACGUGCGGUGCAAAGCAGGCAGGAAAAAGAACGACUUCAAAGACUUAAUCGUCAACGGGUGGAAGAGGAAGAGAAAGUGCGCCGCUUGGAAUUGUUGCAGUCCAUCGAGCGGAAACUGGAAAAAAGUGAACAAAUUUUCAGAGAAAAGCGUGCAGUGUUGGAAAGUGCCCGAUCUGUGGCACGUGCAUCUUUUCAUGUGCGGGAUCGUGUUCGCGAAGAGACGAACAUGCGUACCUUUGACAAGAUGGCCCUGGAGGCUCAGCUACAAGCAAAUUUAGUUGAAAAGUGAGCAUUUCAACUGUGAAGGUUAUUUGCUUUUUCCAUGCACCUCUGCGUAGAAAUAAGCUGUGCUUGAGCCUACAUGCUAGCCACACCACCAAAUUACAGCAACUCUUUUGAUGGUCAUGCCAUCUAAAGAUUCAUUAACUCCUGAUGCUGGAUCAUUUUCAUCAUGCCACCUGAAGAAAUAUUUUUCUGUACUUAUAUGUUUUAAAUGUUAAUCUAAGAACUGUGUGCUUAUGUGUGGAUGAUCAUAUUGAUGUCUGGGCAUGAUUGAUUUUUGAAAACUGGCAGCCAUGUUGCUUUGAGAACCGUAUAUAAAGAGUUCAUUGUUUACAAGGAAGUUUGGCACUAGUGCAACAGUGAUGACUUCUUUCUAAGGGUGGCUUUAUUUCUCAGAACAAGAAAAAGAAAAAAGGAUGGGAAGCCUUUCCCAGAGUAAAUCUUUUAAGGGAGAGUCUUGUUUUUGGAAUCUAGGCCACAGGAGUUUGAGCCAUGACUUGACUGUGUGUAAACCAAACUCUAACGAAAUGCUGACCCAGCAUUACAUCGUAGAGUCAGGACAUGACAAAGAAUGAUCUCAGCACAGUGUAAGCGCUGAUGAAGCACAAGAGUCGUUGGUCAGCAACAGACCCAGCAGGGCUCAAAUCCAUACUGACAUCCCCUGCAUUCCUCCAGGUUCGGGAGUGGAGAAGAUGAUGUUGACAUCUGCGGUCUGAUUCAGUUAAAAUAACCCUCAAGAGACUGCAAAAGUCUUUCACUUUGAUCAUGGAUCCUCAUUCUCUCUCUCUCUGGCAGUGACUCAGCAAGGCAUGAUGUAAUUGGGAGGUUUAAUAAAGCCUGCAGCCAUUUUAAUUCCAGCACAUCCAGAUGGCACCACAUUCGUGACUCUGGACCACAAAACCAGUCUGUAUGAAAUCUAAAUUUGCAAUAAUUAUGUUGCUAGCACACAUUG